ACAUGUUCAGGAGCUGGAGGAGGGACCUCGUCAGCUUUCUUAUGUCCUGGCAAUUUCUCCUUGAUUUUGUCAAGGAAACCCUUCUUAUCCUCUGGUUCAUGGGGUGUCUCUGUAUGGACUACCUCGACAGGAACACUAGUAUCCUCGUGUUCCUUCUCCUCUCCUUUCUCUCCUGAUAUCUUCAUCUUCUCUUUCAAUGACCUCUUUUCCUUCUUCUUCUUCUUUUUCUCUUCAUCGUCACCUUCCUCCUCGUCGCUAGACUGCAUUUUUUAACACAUCAAAAAAUCUGUCAAUCUCAAGAAACACUUAACGGAAAAGACAACAAACAAAAUAAAUAAUGAGAUCGAUCCAUGGAUCGAGUUAGAAACUUACAGAGCUGGAAGAACUGCUGCCUGAUCGAUGGAGUUUCUCAAAGAGAGUAGGUUUCUUCUCCUCUUCCUCUUUUUUCUUGUGCUCUUCCUCUACUUUAGUCUCGGGUUCAGAAACCUGAAGUUUCUCUUCAAAUUCAGUACCAAUCACCUCCUCUUGAGGCUUCUCUUCUUCUUUCUUCCCCAGGAAAUCAAACAACCCGCGAUCCUUGGUCUCAACAGCACCACUCUCUUCACCAACUUUGGUCUCAUACUCAUGGCUCUUGUUUUCCUCAGCCAUACUGAUCAAAAUCACAAUAUGAACCUAAUCAAGAAAAGAUCAAAAUCACAACAGAGUAAUUAAAAUGAGUAAGCUUCUGCUUCGAGUGAUUUGCGCUU
rnacentral:lncRNA from 1 species